AAACAAGUUAGUAAAAGAAGUCUUCACUGGUAAUCUUUGAUGCAUAUUUUAAUAUUCUGGUCGCUGAAAAAUCGAGACUCGCCACCAUUCUAUAGCUGCUCUCGGCAUCCAUUUCCAAUUUCUCCGCUACUUUAGGUAACGAAGUCAUUUUCAAGCAAUUGUUGUUUUAGUAUGACGUCAUCUCUGAGAACUCACCGGAGAGGCAACGAGGAGAAGAAUCGGAGGGUAGGUUAUCGGGAAAAUUCAUGUCGAUUCACGGACAGAGCUCGGGGAGCAGUAGUUCGGAGUUGUUGUGAAGGUCAAGGAUUUCUUUCCUUUGCUUAGUCAAUUAGGUGAUCUUAGUUCAAUUUUGAUAUCGUUGAUAGAUUAAAUAUUUGGGAAUUUCUUUUUCAAAUAAUACUCUAUUUUUGGUUUACUUUUACUGUUUAAAGGUUAUUUUCGAAAGAAAUUCGGCUAAAAAAAUAAAUAAAGAGAAGCAGUGCAACAAGGGUCCUGCUAACUUUCUACCUUAAUUUUUUAUCUUCACCCCCGCCUAGCAAGGGUCUUUGUUUUACACUAAUAUUUAAAUGGAAUAUUUGGAGUCUAUGUUUACAAACUUUCUUAGGCAGAAUAAUCUAGUAGACCCCUAAACUUGUUCAUGUUUGAUAUCUCGUUCCUUCUAUUAACUUGUUUUUAUCCAACGAGUGUUCCACCUUCCAACAAAGGCACAUGAGAGGCUUCUUAUGAUCUUGCAACGGGCUAUAGAAGAAGUUGAUUCUGUCAAGGAAGAGCUCAACAAGCUGAAGGAUAAUAAUAAUAAUAUGCGAGCUGGAAAUUUUUCACUUGGAGGUUCUAGUUCACCACGAUUGCAUGUUUCAACCCUCGAGAACAACAUGGUGGGGCACAACAUUGAACAAGAGCUCAUGCGGGGUCAACUUACAGGACACUCGUCUCAGCUGGAAGUCAUCUCUAUUGCUGGGAUGGGCGGCAUUGGCAAGUCAACCUUUGCCAAGAGAAUGUUUAAUGAUCCCUCAAUUGUGAGCUUCUUUGAUGUUCGUGGAUGGGUUACUGUAUCCAAGGACUACAAUUUAAGAAAGAUGCUUCUAUCCCUCCUUCAAGAUGCUGGGAUAAAUGCGGAGCUUGAUAAGAAAAGCGAUAUUGGAGAAGAAGAAGAAGAAGAAGAAGAUGAUGAUGAUGAUGAUGAUGAUGAUGAUGAUGCUGGGAUAAAUGCGGAGCUUGAUAAGAAAAGCGAUAUUGGAGAACACAGAGAAGAAUAAGUGAUGGAAGAAGAAGAAGAAGAAGAUAAGUGAUGGAAGAAGAAGAAGAAGAAGAAGAAGAAGAUAAGUGAUGUACAACUAGAAAAUCGCAUCCAGAAAAGCGAUGGAGAACUAGCAGAUCGCAUCCACAAUUGAUUGUUGUGGAUGACAUAUGGAGCACAGAAGCUUGGGAUGAGUUUAGGCUAUGGUUUCCAGAAUACAAUAAUAGAAGUCGGAUAUUAUUGACUACUCCAGUUGAGGAAUAAUGCCUUUGUAUCAAACAUCGUCUUGGAAGUAACAGAGAUGCAAUUUCCUAAAUUGAAAUUCUUGCUCCUCGAGCAGUUGAAUAUUAGAUAUUGGAGAGCCACUGAUGAUUGUUUCCCAUGCCUUGAGCGUAUAAUUAUAAGAAAUUGCAGGUUUUUAAAAGAGAUUCCCCAAGAAUUUGCAGAUAGUAUGACACUGCAGCUAAUUGAGUUACAUCAAUGUUCUCCUUCCCUUGUGAAUUCUGCUGAGCUGAUCCAGAAAGAGCAAUUGGAGAGUUUGGGGAAUAACAUGCUUAAAGUUUAUGCCUUUGACACCAUUAAAUGCAGAAUCUGGUGAGAGCUAACCGUUUCCACUUACUACGAUUGAACCAAUGCCCAACAUCCCAGAAAUAUGAGCAGCUUGUUUUUCUGUUAAGACACAGUGACACAGAAGUUAUGAGUGGUCCAAAUCUUUGUUUUCUCUGAACUAUAUGCACUCCAGUUCGAAUACUAAAUACAUAUUUGGAGUCGCUGAAUUAUGGGCAACCCAAAGGUGGGAGUCCUAUUGGGGUUAGUUGAUAAAUAAUUUCUGAAAAGUUUGAGGACUUUGCUCGAAUACAGGCAAAUGCAGACUUAGACCUAAUUUCUUGAAGGAUUUGCAUAUACCAUCUUGAGCUAAUAAGAUUCAGAUGCAGUUAAUGAAGAAGCAGCAGAGGGAGAUGUAGAAAAGACGGACAAAGAUUCAGAGGAUGAGUUUUAAGGUAGACUUGUGAGGAAAUUUGCUUUGGUUCACUUAAAAGAUGUUGCUAAAGUUAGCAAACUGCAACUCUUUGUGUUGCACAAGCGCAGUAUCGAGCGAGAAAUGAAAACAACUGGUGCUUGUCAUAUGCUUGUUUUUCUUUUGGUUUUGUUCCUGUUCUUUUGUAUCAAGUAGAAGUGGAUUGUAUUAUCUAAAAUUCUCAAGAAAACUAAACGCAGAAUCUAUAGAGUGAAUCUGUCAUAAUGCUCAA